CCUUCGCGGCUGCUGCUCCUCGCGGGUCUCCCAUUUCCUCUCGCUCUCUCGGUCUCUUCUAUUGCAGCCGCUGCUCCUUUCACUCCGUCGCCGGCGUCAAAAGGGACGACCUGUCUCGUCGCCUUAGCGAUAUCGAUGGGGACACUAGGUAGGGCGAUCUACACCGUCGGAUUCUGGAUCCGGGAGACCGGCCAGGCCAUUGAUCGUCUCGGCUCUCGACUCCAGGGAAAUUAUCUCUUCCAAGAGCAGAUAUCAAGGCAUCGCACACUUAUGAACAUAUUUGACAAAGUGCCUAAUGUUCACAAAGAUGCUUUUGUUGCUCCUAGUGCAUCUGUUAUUGGUGAUGUCCAAGUGGGCCAUGGAUCAUCAAUCUGGUAUGGAUGUGUUUUGCGAGGCGAUGUGAACAGCAUCUAUGUGGGAUCUGGCACCAAUAUACAAGAUAAUUCUCUCGUUCACGUGGCAAAAUCUAAUCUUAGUGGGAAGGUCCUGCCAACUAUAAUUGGAGAUAAUGUGACAGUAGGUCAUAGUGCCGUUUUGCACGGAUGCACCGUUGAGAAUGAAUCCUUUGUUGGAAUGGGAGCAGUCCUGCUCGAUGGAGUAGUUGUGGAAGAGCAUGGGAUGGUUGCUGCUGGAUCCCUUGUAAGGCAGAAUACAAAGAUCCCUUCUGGAGAGGUAUGGGGAGGCAAUCCUGCAAAGUUCUUGAGAAAGCUCACCGACGAAGAGAGAGCUUUCAUAGCGCAGUCUGCAACGAGCUACACUAAUUUAGCCCAAGUGCAUGCGGCUGAGAAUUCAAAGUCGUUUGACGAGAUUGAGUUCGAGAAGCUUCUGCGCAAGAGGUUCGCCCGCCGGGACGAGGAGUAUGACUCCAUGCUCGGAAUAGUUCGCGAAACCCCCGCAGAGCUCAUUCUUCCGGACAAUAUCCUGCCCGACAAGGCCCGCGCCACCACCCCUUCUUCUCAAUAACAGUCAUCUGAGAGCUUCCUUUACGAGGAUGUUAAAUUGCUUUCAGCUGCUCGCUCAUGAAAUGCAUGAGCUUGAGAAAACCCUCGGCAUGGAUGUACCUCUGAGGCAUGGGCGUUGGUCUUCUUCGAGAUGCUAAUGGAAAGGGAAGGCAAGUGUCCUUUUGCGAGGGCUGACAGUUCAGCUCAGAGGUCAGCGUGGCCGUCACGUGACAUGAAGACCAGAGCCUUGAGAAAAGAGACAAGGUGAUAUUACACGAACAUCCUUGGUUUUUUUUAAAAAAAAAAAUCAUGGCAAUUUUAGGAUAUGAUUAUAAAAAGAAGCGGAAUUUAAGAUUAGAUAUGGGCAAAAUUUAAAUUAAGUUUUUUUAAAAAAAAAAUUAAUAGCAUUAAUGUAUUCUAUGUAUAAAAAAAAAUAUAUCAAAAAGUAUCUCACCUUAUUUUUCUAUUCAUUGUUUUACCUAAAAUAUUGAAUUGACAAGGUUAAGGUAAAAACAAUAACUAAAAAAGAAUGAAGUUCCCUUCAUAUGUAUUUAAUAUAUAAAAUUCCUGAAAAAAUAUUUUUUAUAUUUAGAUGUAUAUAUUUCUCUUGAAGCCAUUUGAUUGAGGAAUAUGAACAAACCCACGUUGUCAGUCAACCGAGGCCUCACACACCCAUAUGAACAAACAUGCUAUCGAUAGUACCUCCAGUGUCAUACUACAGAAGUAAAAUAUUUAAAGGAGCAAAAUAGGACGAAUACUAAUUUAAAUAAACUGCACAACUGCAUUCCUUCAAGUUCUAAAUUCCAAUACCCCAAAAUCACUGUCCACACCCAUUAUCAACUUUUUAUCUGUUCUUCAAAUAAGAUGGCCCUGCAAUUACGCUCCGUAACUUUUGACUUGAACAAACCCUAAAGCGAGGAACGCUCCUCUGAUUCGCAAAGGCAUUCAAUUAAGCUCCGCAUUGCAUGGCUCUUCCUUCGAUGCCAUUCCACAACUGACACACUGCCCUCAUUUCUUUUUUUCUUUUCCCUGUCUAAUGCCAAGAAACAAGACUUCACAGCGCCUACUCCCUUCCCUCCACAGCUACGAGCCACAUGGCAGUAGGCAUUAGCACGAGAUUAGGUUCUGUUAAACAGGGAAAUCUCUGAGAUGCUCGAGGAUUUUCGUUUCCUUUUUAAGAAAAGAAAUGGCGUCGGGCAGGAGGUUUU